rnacentral:lncRNA from 1 species
GUAUACUGUUUGGGGUAUACUGUCUUCCUCCUUCAUGGAAACCCACCCAGUUUGUCAGAAGUAAUAUAAUUCUCAUUCACAGGGUAUUGCAUCAUUCACAGGGUAUUGCAUUCCUAAACCAGAAGUGAUCCUCAAAUUGGAGACAGGCAAGGAGCCAUGGAUAUUAGAGGAAAAAUUUCGAAGCCAGAGUCAUCUGGGUGGGUUAGUGCCAGAUGGAAUUUAAAGAAUUAAUUAAUACCAGUAGAAACUAUUCAAGAACGAAGUUCAAUGAGUUUAACAAAGGUGGAAAAUGUUUCUGUGAUGAAAGCAUGAAAUAAUUCAUUUUGAAGAGGAACCUUCUGAAUAUAAUAAAAAUGGGAACAGCUUCUGGCUGAAUGAAGACCUCAUUUGGCAUCAGAAGAUUAAAAAUUGGGAGCAACCUUUUGAAUACAAUGAAUGUGGGAAAGCUUUCCCUGAGAAUUCACUCUUCCUUGUACAUAAGAGAGCUUACACAGGACAGAAAACAUGCAAAUAUACUGAACAUGGGAAAACCUGUUAUAUGUCAUUUUUUAUUACUCAUCAGCAAACACAUCCAAGAGAGAACCACUAUGAAUGUAAUGAAUGUGGAGAAAGUAUCUUUGAGGAAUCCAUUCUCUUUGAACAUCAGAAUGUUUACCCAUUCAGCCAGAAUUUAAAUCCCACUCUAAUUCCGAGAACCCACUCAAUUAGCAAUAUUAUUGAAUAUAAUGAAUGUGGAACCUUUUUCAGUGAAAAAUUAGCCCUUCAUUUACAACAGAGAACACAUCCAGGGGAAAAACCUUAUGAAUAUCAUGAAUGUGGAAAAACCUUCACCCAGAAGUCAGCCCACACAAGACAUCAGAGAACACACACAGGGAAAACCCUAUGAAUGUCAUGGAUGUGGGAAGACCUUCUAUAAGAAUUCAGACCUCAUUAGAAAUCAAAGAAUUCACACAGGGGAGAGACCUUACAGAUGUCAUGAAUGGAGAAAUCCUUCAGUGAAAAGUCAUCCCUUACUCAACAUCAGAGAACACACGCGGGGAGAAAUCAUAUGAAUGUCAUGAAUGUGGGAAAACCUCGUUUAAGUCAGUUCUAACUGUGCAUCAGAAAACACACAGGGGAGAAGCCCUAUGAAUGCUAUGCAUGUGGGAACACCUUUCUUGGAAAAUCCGACCUCAUUAAACAUCAGAGAAUUCACACAGGAGAAAAACCUUAUGAAUGUAAUGAAUGUGGGAAGUCAUUCUCUGAGAAGUCAACCCUUACUAAACAUCUAAGAACACACAGAUGGGAAAUCUUAUGAAUGUAUUCAAUGUGGAAAAUUUUUCUGCUGCUACUACAGUUUCACAGAACAUCUGAGAAGACACACAGGGGAGAAACCUUUUGGAUGUAAUGAAUGUGGGAAAACCUUCCAUCAGAAGUCGGCCCUAAUUGUUCACCAGAGAACUCAUAUAAGACAGAAACCCUAUGGAUGUAAUGAAUAUGGAAAAUCAUUCUGUGUGAAGUCAAAACUCAUUGCACAUCAUAGAACAUACAAAGGGGAGAAACCCUAUGAAUGUAAUGUUUGUGGAAAAUUAUUAUUAAGUCAAAACUAACUGUACAUCACAGAACACACUUGAGGUGAAACCCUAUAAAUGUAGUAAGUGAGGGAAAUUACUCUGGGUGAAGUCAGAACUUUGUAGAGCAGAGAACAUAAAGGGUGAGAGAAAUCUGUUAAUAUAAUGAUAAUGAGAACACCUUUGCCCUGAAGUCAGUUCUCACAGUAGAGAAGAGAACUUAAAGAGGGAAAAAACAAUAUGAAGAUAUGGAAUGCAGGAAAACAUUAUUCUGGGAUUUGGGCCAUAGAUUAUGUUUAAAAACUAAAAGUGAAAAACACUUAUUGGUGAAUGAAUAUAGGAAACAUUUUGCUCAAUGCCACACCUCAGUAAACAUCAGAGAGUUCACACAGGGUGAAACCUGGCUCAGCAUCCCUAAGUUGAGAAGGGAUGCAUUUUUUUUUGCUACUACUACAGUUUCACAGAAUAUCUGAGAAGACACACAGGGGAGAAACUUUUUGGGUGUAAUGAAUGUGGGAAAACCUUUCACCAGAAGUGAGCCCUAAUUGUUCACCACAGAACUCAUAUAAGACAGAAACCCUAUGGAUGUAAUGAAUGUGGAAAAUCAUUCUGUGUGAAGUCAAGAGGCCACAGAAAAUGCACAAACUAUAGGAAAGCAUUUACUAUGAGGUUAUAUUUUAUAGAGUAUAUGUAAUAAGAAGUACCUUCUUAGUGAACAUCAGAUAGUAGAGGAAGUAUUUUUAACUGUAUCCAAUGUGUGGACAUUUUAGGUUAAAAUCUAAAUUUAAU